CGCAGCUUUGUCAAAUUCAGUGCUCUCUCCUUGGUAGGUUGCACUGGCCAAAAUGGCUGCAACACUAAACUUUGUAGUUCAUGGGCCCCACAUCUUCACCAUAGAUCCUGGGGAUAAAUAUGUGCUACAGACAGUA